rnacentral:misc_RNA from 1 species
UUUGAGCUGACAUACCUUCUGG